CGUGUAGGCGGCCGAUUAAGUAUGAAGUGAAAGUCCUGCUUUCAAGGUGGGAAUUGCUUUGUAGACUGGUUGGCUUGAGUGCGGAAGAGGUAAGUGGAAUUCCCAGUGUAGCGGUGAAAUGCGUAGAGAUUGGGAGGAACACCAGUGGCGAAGGCGACUUACUGGGCCGUAACUGACGCUGAGGCGCGAAAGCGUGGGGAGCGAACA
rnacentral:rRNA from 1 species